CCACUCCCCAGCUCUUGCCCCCAUCUGCCCAGAGCUUGAAUGGCUGUCCGACAACGUCAGGCUGGCAGCGAGGAGGCAGGCGUGGAUGCUAUGAGAGCUGGAACUGCAGAGCUGUGCUGAGAUGGCUCAGGGCCCAGAGCUGUUUUCUCCCGAGCUGAAGAGGAGAGAAAUCUGACAGCCCUGCCAGUGACAGAGAACUUCAGGAUGGGAGACUAUUUGGGAAACUGCCCUGAAAAAGUCUGCCUUCCAGUGCCUUACCACUCUUUCUGAGAAGAAAUUUUUCUUGGUAUCCAAACUGAACCACCCAUGAUGCAACUUAAGGCCCCACUUGUUCUAUUACUGUUACCUGGGAGAAGAGACCAACCUCCACCUCACUACACCGUAACUCAGGACAGCCUAAGAGGCCUCAGCUGUACCACUUUGUAGUGGAAAUGCUAAGUCAUGGCCUGAAGCAGUGAUUAAGCACCUGGUGGAAGGCAGGACCAACCCAGGGGAGCUCAGCUGCAUGCAAUGGCCCUGAGUGACUGGAAGGGGUAGAACCAGGAUCCACCCUUUCCCAGACCUCAUUUAAGGGUUAGCUGUGGAGGUGAUGGCAUCUUACUGGAAGCCCCUGUGUCCCUGAGGCCUUCUGAAGCCAUACCAUCUCUAUUUGUGUCAAUUCCCAGCAGACCAGCACAGGCACUGCAGAUGCGAUACAUCGAGUUCAUCACUGUCUGCUCCUCAUGGCAUGGCCAGAUCAUCAGGUUAUCUUCUACUUGCCUGUUUCCAUGGAAGUCAGCUCUCUUUGGGAUGGCUUACUUCAGCUUCAGCAGCUUUCCAGACCGCAUCUGGGGGUUAACACACCACUUCCACUGAGUGUCACCUUCUUGGAGUUCAUUCAUCAAUCAUAUUUACAAGCCCAUUGUCGGACCGGCUGCCAGUGGAGCAUUCUCACACAUUUCAGCUCACAGAAACUGCAAACCAGGGCCGCUCUGCUCAGAUCUCUAAUAUUUCUGAGGAGCCAGAAGGUGCUGACAGCUCAUGGUACGCCUAUCCCAGGCAAGUGCAAGUGCCUCGACGUCCAUCUAUCUGCGGUUACUGCUGAGGGGUACAAUUACAGAGCACAUUUACCCUCUGCGAAGGAAUCCUCCCUGGAGAGGUUAGAAACGGGGAAUAAACAGCGCGUUGCAGCUGGGGGUCUGCAAAACGAGCUUCAGAAUAAUCACCCAAGCGGACUUUUUGAGUGAGCUUCUGCCACUACUGAGCCUCCCGUGACGGCAGCAGGAGCAGCUCAGGGGCGGCAGACGUGGGCCUUGGUCUUGCUUUGUGCUUUGCUGUUCCACACCCUCACUUAUUUUUCCCUUUAAGCGUGUACCUCGGGAUGGAGAACAUUAGGGAAGAACGUUCCUCCUUGGGAUUUCACAGGAGGGUGUUUCUCAGGGCGGCAGAAGGAAGCAGCUCCCAGCACCCAAGGCGACACAUUGUCACCACAGCCCUGCUUGCAUCCGAGCCCAUUGUCAACCAAAGGAACUCGAAAAUUAUGGUCAUUUAUCUACCCCCUUCUUUACCCCCCACCGUGCCUCUUUUGGCAGGGCAGCCAAGCAGUUUGCAUUGUUUCAAGCUUAAUGCUUGCAGAUGGUUUUAUUUAGAAUUCGUUUUAUUGGUGA
ensembl:lncRNA